rnacentral:rRNA from 1 species
UACAGAGGUCUCAAGCGUUGUUCGGAUUCAUUGGGCGUAAAGGGUGUGUAGGUGGCGCCGUAAGUCAGGUGUGAAAUUUCGGAGCUUAACUCCGAAACUGCAUUUGAUACUGCGGUGCUUGAGGACUGGAGAGGAGACUGGAAUUCAUGGUGUAGCAGUGAAAUGCGUAGAGAUCAUGAGGAAGACCAGUGGCGAAGGCGGGUCUCCGGACAGUUCCUGACACUGAGACACGAAGGCCAGGGGAGCAAACGGG